rnacentral:rRNA from 1 species
AACGUAGGCGGCUUUUUAAGUCAGGGGUGAAAUCCCGGGGCUCAACCCCGGAACUGCCCUUGAAACUGAAAAGCUAGAAUCCUGGAGAGGCGAGCGGAAUUCCGAGUGUAGAGGUGAAAUUCGUAGAUAUUCGGAAGAACACCAGUGGCGAAGGCGACUCGCUGGACAGGUAUUGACGCUGAGGUUCGAAAGCGUGGGGAGCAAACA